UCAGGUCUAGUCAAUCAAAGGAUGACGAGC
rnacentral:piRNA from 1 species